GUUUAAAUUCGGGUCUAGGUUAAGUCCUGGCUUAAAUUGGGCUCUGGGUUAAAUCCGGGUUUAAAUUGGGGUCUCUGAUAAAUCCGGGUUGAAAUUCAGGUCAAGGUUAAAUCCAGGUUUAAAUUGGGGUCUGUGCUUAAUCCUGGCUUAAAUUCAGGUCUGGGUUAAAUCCUGCGUUGAAAUCAAUGAAACCCCUCCCCCACCCCCAGCCCUGGGCUGGCUCCGUGUGUCUGGGGGUUGUUGUGGUUCGCCUGUUGGAUUUACCCGUCGUCGUUCGCCCGUUCGGUUUAUUGUUGGUUACCUGUUUGGUUUAUCUGUUGUCAUCUGUUCAUGUGUCGUCGUUCGCCUGUUUGAUUUCCGGGUGUUGUCCGCCUGUUUGAUUUACCUGUCGUUGUUUCUGUCUUUGAUUUACCUGUUGUUGUUCUCUGUUUGAUUUCCGGGUGUUGUUCACCUGUUUCAUUUCUGUGUGUUGUCCGCCUGUUUGAUUUCUGUUUGUUAUUCACUGUUUCAUUUCUCUCUGUUAUUCACUGUUUGAUUUCUGUGUGUUGUCCGCCUGUUUGAUUUACCUGUCGUCGUUUCUCUCUUUGAUUUACCUGUCGUUGUUCUCUGUUUGAUUUCUGUCUGUUGUCCGCCUGUUUGAUUUACCUGUCGUUGUUUCUGUCUUUGAUUUACCUGUCG
rnacentral:lncRNA from 12 species